rnacentral:rRNA from 1 species
UACGUGGGGGCAAGCGUUGUCCGGAUUUAUUGGGCGUAAAGCGCGUGUAGGCGGCCAGGUAGGUCGGUUGUGAAAAUUGGAGGCUCAACCUCCAGACGUCGAUCGAAACCAUCUGGCUAGAGUCCGGAAGAGGAGAAUGGAAUCCUGGUGUAGCGGUGAAAUGCGCAGAUAUCAAGAGGAACACCUGAGGUGAAGACGGGUGCUGGGCUGACACUGACGCUGAGGCGCGAAAGCUAGGGUAGCAAACGGG